rnacentral:piRNA from 1 species
ACUAAGGAACAGGGUAAGAAACAAAA